rnacentral:rRNA from 1 species
GAUCCUGGCUUAGGAUGAACGCUAGCUACAGGCUUAACACAUGCAAGUCGAGGGUAGCAGGGUAGCAAUACCGCUGACGACCGGCGCACGGGUGAGUAACACGUAUCCAACCUUCCCAUAACUCAGGGAUAGCCUUUCGAAAGAAAGAUUAAUACCUGAUAGUACUUUUUCAAGGCAUCUUGAGAAAGUUAAAGAUUUAUUGGUUAUGGAUGGGGAUGCGUUCCAUUAGAUAGUUGGUGAGGUAACGGCUCACCAAGUCUUCGAUGGAUAGGGGUUCUGAGAGGAAGGUCCCCCACAUUGGUACUGAGACACGGACCAAACUCCUACGGGAGGCAGCAGUGAGGAAUAUUGGUCAAUGGGCGAGAGCCUGAACCAGCCAAGUAGCGUGAAGGAUGAAGGUCCUAUGGAUUGUAAACUUCUUUUAUAGUAGAAUAAAGUGAUCCACGUGUGGAUUUUUGUAUGUAUACUAUGAAUAAGGAUCGGCUAACUCCGUGCCAGCAGCGGC